UUGAACGCUGGUGGCAGGCCUAACACAUGCAAGUCGAACGGUAACAGGAAACAGCUUGCUGUUUCGCUGACGAGUGGCGGACGGGUGAGUAAUGUCUGGGAAACUGCCUGAUGGAGGGGGAUAACUACUGGAAACGGUAGCUAAUACCGCAUAACGUCGCAAGACCAAAGAGGGGGACCUUCGGGCCUCUUGCCAUCGGAUGUGCCCAGAUGGGAUUAGCUAGUAGGUGGGGUAACGGCUCACCUAGGCGACGAUCCCUAGCUGGUCUGAGAGGAUGACCAGCCACACUGGAACUGAGACACGGUCCAGACUCCUACGGGAGGCAGCAGUGGGGAAUAUUGCACAAUGGGCGCAAGCCUGAUGCAGCCAUGCCGCGUGUAUGAAGAAGGCCUUCGGGUUGUAAAGUACUUUCAGCGGGGAGGAAGGGAGUAAAGUUAAUACCUUUGCUCAUUGACGUUACCCGCAGAAGAAGCACCGGCUAACUCCGUGCCAGCAGCCGCGGUAAUACGGAGGGUGCAAGCGUUAAUCGGAAUUACUGGGCGUAAAGCGCACGCAGGCGGUUUGUUAAGUCAGAUGUGAAAUCCCCGGGCUCAACCUGGGAACUGCAUCUGAUACUGGCAAGCUUGAGUCUCGUAGAGGGGGGUAGAAUUCCAGGUGUAGCGGUGAAAUGCGUAGAGAUCUGGAGGAAUACCGGUGGCGAAGGCGGCCCCCUGGACGAAGACUGACGCUCAGGUGCGAAAGCGUGGGGAGCAAACAGGAUUAGAUACCCUGGUAGUCCACGCCGUAAACGAUGUCGACUUGGAGGUUGUGCCCUUGAGGCGUGGCUUCCGGAGCUAACGCGUUAAGUCGACCGCCUGGGGAGUACGGCCGCAAGGUUAAAACUCAAAUGAAUUGACGGGGGCCCGCACAAGCGGUGGAGCAUGUGGUUUAAUUCGAUGCAACGCGAAGAACCUUACCUGGUCUUGACAUCCACGGAAGUUUUCAGAGAUGAGAAUGUGCCUUCGGGAACCGUGAGACAGGUGCUGCAUGGCUGUCGUCAGCUCGUGUUGUGAAAUGUUGGGUUAAGUCCCGCAACGAGCGCAACCCUUAUCCUUAGUAGCCAGCACGUCGUGGUGGGCACUCUGGGGAGACUGCCAGGGAUAACCUGGAGGAAGGUGGGGAUGACGUCAAAUCAUCAUGCCCCUUAUGACUUGGGCUACACACGUGCUACAAUGGCGCAUACAAAGAGAAGCGACCUCGCGAGAGCAAGCGGACCUCAUAAAGUGCGUCGUAGUCCGGAUUGGAGUCUGCAACUCGACUCCAUGAAGUCGGAAUCGCUAGUAAUCGUGGAUCAGAAUGCCACGGUGAAUACGUUCCCGGGCCUUGUACACACCGCCCGUCACACCAUGGGAGUGGGUUGCAAAAGAAGUAGGUAGCUUAACCUUCGGGAGGGCGCUUACCACUUUGUGAUUCAUGACUGGGGUG
rnacentral:rRNA from 1 species